GCAUAUCAAUAAGCGGAGGAAAAGAAAAUAACAAUGAUUCCCUUAGUAACUGCGAGUGAAGAGGGACAAGCUCAAAUUUUAAAUCUGCUAGGUUUUACCUAUCAGAGUUGUAAUUUGAAGAAGCGUUUUCCGCGUCUCGGUUGACCCAAAUCCUUUGGGAUAUGGUAUCAUGGAGGGUGAGAAUCCCGUUCGGUUGACCUUGUGACGCUUUACGAUACGUUUUCUAAGAGUCGAGUUGUUUGGGAUUGCAGCUCAAAAUGGGAGGUAAAUUUCUCCUAAGGCUAAAUAUUGGCGAGAGACCGAUAGCGAACAAGUACCGUGAGGGAAAGAUGAAAAGAACUUUGAAAAGAGAGUAAAAUAGUACGUGAAAUUGUUGAAAGGGAAACGAUUGAAGUCAGUCGUACCGACGGAAAAUCAGCUCUUUAGUGCGGACUUGUGGGCUUACGUGAGUUUUAACACCUCGCUGUUUGCAACGUUCGUGCUUUUUGGGUGUACUUUUUCGUAUGGUAGGCCAAUGUCAGUUUCGAUCGCUAUAAAAUGACCGGCGGAAUGUAGCUUCGAUCUUGUAUUGAAGUGUUAUAGCCUCUGGUAGAUGUGGUGAUCGGGACUGAGGAUUGCAACGAAUACCUUUUGGGCUAUCCGUCUGAUCUCUGAAGGUUGCUUANGUGCCGAAAGCGUGCUUACGGUUAUUUAAGUUGACAGUCAAAAGGUUAGAACGGAUUAUAUUCGUUAAGGAUGUUGACGUA
rnacentral:rRNA from 1 species